rnacentral:rRNA from 1 species
GCGAGUGAAGCGGCAAAAGCUCAAAUUUGAAAUCUGGCUCUUUCAGAGUCCGAGUUGUAAUUUGAAGAAGGUAUCUUUGGGUCUGGCUCUUGUCUAUGUUUCUUGGAACAGAACGUCACAGAGGGUGAGAAUCCCGUGCGAUGAGAUGAUCCAGGCCUAUGUAAAGUUCCUUCGAAGAGUCGAGUUGUUUGGGAAUGCAGCUCUAAGUGGGUGGUAAAUUCCAUCUAAAGCUAAAUAUUGGCGAGAGACCGAUAGCGAACAAGUACAGUGAUGGAAAGAUGAAAAGAACUUUGAAAAGAGAGUGAAAAAGUACGUGAAAUUGUUGAAAGGGAAGGGCUUGAGAUCAGACUUGGUAUUUUGUAUGUUACUUCUUCGGGGGUGGCCUCUACAGUUUAUCGGGCCAGCAUCAGUUUGGGCGGUAGGAGAAUUGCGUUGGAAUGUGGCACGGCUUCGGUUGUGUGUUAUAGCCUUCGUCGAUACUGCCAGCCUAGACUGAGGACUGCGGUUUAUACCUAGGAUGUUGGCAUAAUGAUCUUAAGUCGCCC